CUACGGGAGGCUGCAGUGGGGAAUAUUGGGCAAUGGGCGCAAGCCUGACCCAGCAACGCCGCGUGAGGGAAGAAGGUUUUCGGAUUGUAAACCUCUGUCCUUGGGGACGAAGAAGUGACGGUACCCAAGGAGGAAGCUCCGGCUAACUACGUGCCAGCAGCCGCGGUAAUACGUAGGGAGCGAGCGUUGUCCGGAAUUACUGGGCGUAACGGGUGCGUAGGCGGCAUAUUAAGUCAGGUGUGAAAUACCCGGGCUCAACCCGGGGGGUGCAUUUGAAACGGAUACGCUUGAGUGUGAGAGAGGAAAGUGGAAUUCCUAGUGUAGCGGUGAAAUGCGUAGAUAUUAGGAGGAACACCAGUGGCGAAGGCGACUUUCUGGCUCAUAACUGACGCUGAGGCACGAAAGCGUGGGGAGCAAACAGGAUUAGAUACCCCCGUAGUC
rnacentral:rRNA from 1 species